CCCCAUAAGUACGGGCCCGCCACAACCCUGGGACACCCUCCAUCGAAGCCUGGCCCGGUUGCCGUGGUGACCGAAAGCGCUCAUCGACGUCGUGAAGAGAGUGAGGGCUUGCCGCCACCGUUGAUUUCCCCUACGUUGUCGUCCGGGGCGCUUGGACCGGUCGGGUAGGAUACUAGGAUCACCUCAAUGCACAAGACAUGUGUGUGCCGGUUGCGUGCUUGGGAAGGGUCUCGCGACUCUCGCCAUCGACCAAUUUCUUGUCGAAGUUGGGGGGAUCACUGAUAUCCGCCGCUCAUCGUGGCCAGCGCGCACUACCGACUUCCAUCUCCGCAGCAAGGUUACGAGUCACCUGAAGACCAAUUUGGUGAAGUACUUGGGAUCUCAAGUCUAAGGUAAAGAACAGGUACUGCAGGAUGAGGAGCAUGAAGGAUGUCGCGAUGAGUUCGUGAGAGGUUUAGGCCGUUGUCUCCCAGUCAACUGGUGUUGCUAGAUCUUUGUCUUCUUAUGAUGUAAUUAUUUCACUAUUUUUGUACAGAACUCCUAUUAAAUAGUAAAGAUGUGACACUCAUU
rnacentral:lncRNA from 7 species